rnacentral:rRNA from 1 species
GACGAACGCUGGCGGCGUGCUUAACACAUGCAAGUCGAACGGAAAGGCCCUGCUUUUGUGGGGUGCUCGAGUGGCGAACGGGUGAGUAACACGUGAGUAACCUGCCCUUGACUUUGGGAUAACUUCAGGAAACUGGGGUUAAAACCGGAAAGGCGCCCCUCUUGUUUGGUGGGGGUUGGAUAGUUUCGGCGGUUGGGGAUGGACUCGCGGCUUAUCAGCUUGUUGGUGGGGUAGUGGCUUACCAAGGCUUUGACGGGUAGCCGGCCUGAGAGGGUGACCGGCCACAUUGGGACUGAGAUACGGCCCAGACUCCUACGGGAGGCAGCAGUGGGGAAUAUUGCACAAUGGGCGGAAGCCUGAUGCAGCAACGCCGCGUGCGGGAUGACGGCCUUCGGGUUGUAAACCGCUUUCGCCUGUGACGAAGCGUGAGUGACGGUAAUGGGUAAAGAAGCACCGGCUAACUACGUG